UGUGGCUCAAUGGUAGAGUGCUUGCCUAUCGUGUAUGAGGCCCUGGGUUCAAUCCCCAGCA
rnacentral:tRNA from 1 species